AACCUCCGCAAUGUACGAAAGUGCGACGGGGGGAUCCCAAGUGUUAUGCUUUUUUGUAUAACUUUUCAUUAGUGUAAAAAGCUUUUAGAAUAAGAGCUGGGCAAGACCGGUGCCAGCCGCCGCGGUAACACCGGCAGCUCGAGUGGUAGCUGUUUUUAUUGGGCCUAAAGCGUUCGUAGCCGGUUUGAUAAGUCUUUGGUGAAAGCUUGUAGCUUAACUAUAAGAAUUGCUGGAGAUACUAUCAGACUUGAAGUCGGGAGAGGUUAGAGGUACUACCGGGGUAGGGGUGAAAUCCUAUAAUCCUGGGAGGACCACCUGUGGCGAAGGCGUCUAACUGGAACGAUCUUGACGGUGAGUAACGAAAGCCAGGGGCGCGAACCGGAUUAGAUACCCGGGUAGUCCUGGCCGUAAACGAUGUGGACUUGGUGUUGGAAUGGCUUGAGUUGUUCCGGUGCCGAAGGGAGCUGUUAAGUCCACCGCCUGGGAAGUACGGUCGCAAGACUGAAACUUAAAGGGAAU
rnacentral:rRNA from 1 species